GAUGAACGCUAGCGGCAGGCUUAAUACAUGCAAGUCGAACGGUAACAGGUCUUCGGACGCUGACGAGUGGCGCACGGGUGAGGAACACGUACACAAUCUACCUUAUACUGGAGAAUAGCCCCGGGAAACUGGGAUUAAUACUCCAUAGUCUUUAAUGAUCACAUGAGAAAUAAAGUAAAGCUUCGGCGGUAUAAGAUGAGUGUGCGUCCCAUUAGAUUGUUGGUGAGGUAACGGCUCACCAAGUCGACGAUGGGUAGCUGGCGUGAGAGCGCGACCAGCCACACUGGCACUGAGACACGGGCCAGACUCCUACGGGAGGCAGCAGUAGGGAAUAUUGGUCAAUGGACGAAAGUCUGAACCAGCCAUGCCGCGUGGAAGAUGACUGCCCUCUGGGUUGUAAACUCCUUUUAUAUGGGAAGAAACCUCUGGAUUCACUCCAGAGCUGACGGUAUCAUAUGAAUAAGCACCGGCUAACUCCGUG
rnacentral:rRNA from 1 species